GGCCGGAGUGGGACGCAGCUCCGGCGGGAGGUUUCCGCUCAGCGGGACGCUCUCGCGAGUCCCUGCAAAGAGCCGCCGUUACCUUUGCAUCGACAUGACGACAACAACAACAACAACAACAACAACAACAACAACAAACGAAGCGAGUGGAGUGACGACGGUGGGUGCGAUGGAGAUGGAGCACAUCCAGUAAUGGAUGCUUGUCAGUUUUAUGGCGGGGAGAAUGACGGUCUCAUGACAGGGUCCCUCCAUCCAGCCGCAGCCCCUCCGCCUCGCCGCCGCUUCAUACGCGGCUCAACAUCGCCCUCCUUUGGGCAAAACCGGGAACAGCGUGAGUAGCCUGUAUCCUGGUUUCUGAGUAUAAUAUUUAGCUAUUUUUAGAUGUAAAUGAAAAAAAAAUUAUUAUAUUCUCAUUUCCACCGUCCUGUCUUAACAGUUAUCUUAUUUUGCCAGAAGGUGAACACCUUUAAAAAUGGGCCGAGGCGACAGGAGCGUCCUGCUUUGAAAAGGUCUCUCUCGCCGUUAAAAUAUUCCCAAACCCGCCAUUCAAAAAGAAUCUGUUCUUCCCCCCAAGUGUAAAAUUUGUGCAAAAGACGGCUCCACUGGAGCAAAAUGAUGGGAUGAGUGUGUGAUAUUUGGGCCCAUUCAGUCAGCGGUAUCAUCAACAGACACAUGAGCGGGUGGUCAAUGGAGGCGACACAUUGUAAACGGUGGGCAUGAGGUGACAUGCUUUCUGGGCAUUUGCCCAGAUGUGUCCUGGCACAGACAGAAUAGAGGGCAGCGAUGGGCUAAGUGGGGCAGAAGGAAUACAUACUCCCAAUUCCCACAGAUAUGCGGUAGGUCAGGCCUGAUACGCAGCCGGAGGAGACAAAGACACUUAUGAGCUCAAAACAUCAUUAUUGUCAUACAGUAAAUAGGAAAUAAAUGUAGCUAGAACAAGGUAAAUGCAGGGCUGAUACAUUAAGGAACUAGAAGAGUUCAUCCUAAACGUAUUAGUCUUUCCUGUACGUGAAUAGACGUGUUUACUAAAGGUGUUGCAGGUGAUGCCUGCCUUUUCACAGGUAAAGUAACAUAUACAAACACUGAUACAGUCCACAUGGUCUCACGUGGUUGGAGGAGAGGCCCGUCACCACCCACCUGGUAGACUCCACAGCCCCGACACCUCCAAGGUCUUCAGCUUCCUCUCCAGAUCUGCAACCCGGUUCCCCAGGAUCCUGUGGAGCAGGACAAGCUGCUCUUUAGUGUUUGCCUUGAAGGCGGAGGAGCAGCUGUGCAAACACGGGCGCUGCUGCCGGAAGCGUACCGGUUGGUGUGCCUCUGGUGCUGGACGACCAGGUUCUUCUCGUGGAUGGUCUCCAGCAGAGCCGUGGCCAGGGACUUGAGGUCAGAGAUGGACUGAGGCGUGGCCGGCAGGCUGCAGCCCUGCUCCUCCAGCAGCAUCUCCUGGACUGAAGGCCAGAGGCCAAGCCGUUACUACACCCUGGGCAGCAGCUGGAGCUGGAGGAGGUGGAGGCGACCGCCCCCUAACUUUAGGCCCACGGCCACUGUGCUGCUCCGGCCUGCGUCUGCCACUCAUCCUAGCGGGCUCAUUUCGCCGCCACUCGGAAUACAAUUAGUGACCCAGCUGGCGUCCAAGGAGCAGCUAAUAAAGGACUGAAUAAUGCAGCGAGCUGCCGCUGGAAGCAAAGGUUCGGUGGCGUCCGAAAGGAGCCAUUUUCACAGUACCUACUAAUGUGAGCUGACAGGAAGUCGGCGCGGUUUGGACCUCACCUUGUUUGGCGGAGAGCACGCCGGUGAGGACGCUGCUGCUCGACUUCCCGUGUGCGCUGCUCUUCCUGCGCUCCAGGGCGGUCUGUGGAGAGGGAGGCGGAGGCGUGAGGCACGGCGCCGCUCUGACCGGCGCCUCCCACCAGCCGUCGUACCUUGUACUUCAUGAUGUUCGACUUGAGCAGGUUCACCUCCUCUUGGAGCUGGUUCAAGCGCUCGUGCAGGUACCUGCGGCGACAGAGGCGUCAGCGCGGAGCUGGGUUCUGGGGCGCGUCCGGGCCGACCCGCUCACCUGUUCUCCAUGCACAGGGCGUCCACGUCGAUGAUGCGGGCCUCGUGGUGCCCCAGGAUGUGGUUGAGCUCCAGGUUGAGCCGCUCGGCCUUCUCCAUGAACACGCCGCGCUCCGCCUUCACGUCCUGCAGCUCGUCUGUCAGAGCCUUCACGCUGUGCUCCAUCUCCU